AAUAACAUAAAUAAUAGUGAAGAAAAUGUAUUGGCAGAAUGGGGUGGCUCUACUAAUCAAUGGGGAUGGAAUGGUGCUCAAUAUCUCAGUGUGAACUCCACACACCAAAGCAUUAAUACAAAAAGAUAGUUAAGAAAGAUAUGGCACUCAUAUAUCCGGAAGACUGCUCAAACAUUUGAUUUUAUUAUAUUCAAAUAUUCUGCAGGUCACAAAUUACUAAAAAUCAUGCAUCUAAAAUCAACAUACAAGAUACGU